rnacentral:sRNA from 1 species
AAGCCACGUCGCAUGUUCCGUGGAACUUCAAUUGACACUGCACUCGCAUCGUCUUCUUCAUUUUUAACAAGUUCAACUGCAAUGCCGUCACCAUCGACAACCGUUUCAACUGGAAUUCCUGAACAUUUGGUACGGAAUUUUGUCAGAAAAAUUUUUGGGUUUUCAUCUAAAAAAGUUUGGAAAAUUUUUAAUUUUUAAAAUAUAAAAUAGAAAAUACGUUUUUUUGUUUCAAAAUUAAAAAAAUAUAUAUUUGUCUAACAAUCCUAAUUUAGUGAAAUUUUUUUUCGAUUUUUUCAGAAAGUUGAAAAAUCGAAAAAAUCGAUGGCAUGUCAAAUUUCUAGCCAUUUUUCCUAAUUAGCGAUUUUUAGGCGUUUUGCAGAAAAAUAAAUGAAAGUUUGACAAAAAAGAUGAAUUCAGAUGGAAAAAAAGCAAAAAUUUUAGCAUUAAUUUGCGCGGUAAUUCAAAACUGUUCAAAACUGUUCAAAGGUGGAGUAGUCGACCUUUCUUUAUUGCUUUAUUAGACUCGAAUUUGCCAGAAAACACUGAAUUUCAUAAUGAAACUUCUUGAAAACUUCUCAAAAAACAGUUAUGACGACUCAAAAAAUGGCUUAAAAUUAGUUAAAAUUUGAAAUUUGACCGGCUUGUCAAGCGGCUGGAAACUAAGUUUUUUGAAAAAGGUGAUUUCAAAAAAGGUUAGUUUCCAGCCGCUUGACAAGUCGGUCAAAUUUUAAAUUUUAACUAAUUUUAAGCCAUUUUUUGAGUCGUCAUAACUGUUUUUUGAGAAGUUGAACUUUUCAGGAAGUUUCAUUAUGAAAUUCAGUGUUGUCAGACAAUUUUGAGUCUAAUAAAGAAAUUUAACUCUUUUUUUAAUUUUUUGUUGCAAAAAUUGAAAAAUUGUAUACUGAACCUGGACUUUUAAUUUAACACAAACAUAGAAGCAUUGAAAACCGAAUAAUAGUCUCAAUUUACUUAUUUCAGAUUGAUCGAUUUCAUGAUGAAGACGUGAAUAAUCAUCCGGAGACGAGCAGUAGUACGACAACCGUUGCCGCAACAGUUGCACUCAGGAAAUGUAAGAGUCUAUUUAAUAAAAAAAAACACCUCCAAAAAACUCGACUCAAUCAAUAAUAAUUGUUAACAUUUGAAUAAUUGCAGCACGAGAAGAAAAGCAAUGGAAAGAGUGUUGGCUGACAUUAUCGGAUAUUCCUGGCGGAUCAAGUCAACUAUCGGUUUUUGAUUCUAUGG